GACGAACGCUGGCGGCGUGCUUAACACAUGCAAGUCGAACGGAAAGGCCCUGCUUUUGUGGGGUGCUCGAGUGGCGAACGGGUGAGUAACACGUGAGUAACCUGCCCUUGACUUUGGGAUAACUUCAGGAAACUGGGGCUAAUACCGGAUAGGAGCUCCUGCUGCAUGGUGGGGGUUGGAAAGUUUCGGCGGUUGGGGAUGGACUCGCGGCUUAUCAGCUUGUUGGUGGGGUAGUGGCUUACCAAGGCUUUGACGGGUAGCCGGCCUGCGAGGGUGACCGGCCACAUUGGGACUGAGAUACGGCCCAGACUCCUACGGGAGGCAGCAGUGGGGAAUAGUGCACAAUGGGCGGAAGCCUGAUGUAGCAACGCCGCGUGCGGGAUGACGGCAUGCGGGUUGUGAACCGCUUUCGCCUGUGACGAAGCGUGAGUGACGGUAAUGGGUAAAGAAGCACCGGCUAACUACGUG
rnacentral:rRNA from 1 species